rnacentral:rRNA from 1 species
CCUACGGGAGGCAGCAGUGAGGCAUAUUGGUCAAUGGGCGCGAGUCUGAACCAGCCAAGUCGCGUGAGGGAUGAAGGUUCUAUGGAUCGUAAACCUCUUUUAUCAGGGAAUAAAGUGUGGGACGUGUCCUAUUUUGUAUGUACCUUAUGAAUAAGGAUCGGCUAACUCCGUGCCAGCAGCCGCGGUAAUACGGAGGAUCAGAGCGUUAUCCGGAUUUAUUGGGUUUAAAGGGUGCGUAGGCGGCCUUUUAAGUCAGCGGUGAAAGUCUGUGGCUCAACCAUAGAAUUGACGUUGAAAAUGGUGGGCUUGAGUAUGUUUGAGGCAGGCGGAAUGCGUGGUGUAGCGGUGAAAUGCUUAGAUAUCACGCAGAACCCCGAUUGCGAAGGCAGCCUGCCAAGCCAUGACUGACGCUGAUGCACGAAAGCGUGGGGAUCAAACAGGAUUAGAUACCCUUGUAGUC